rnacentral:rRNA from 1 species
UACAUGGGGUGCAAACGUUGCUCGGAAUUAUUGGGCGUAAAGCGCACGUAGGCGGUUUGUUAAGUCGGAUGUGAAAUCCCUCGGCUCAACUGAGGAAGUGCACCCGAAACUGGCAGGCUUGAGUACUAAAGAGGGUCGCGGAAUUCCCGGUGUAGAGGUGAAAUUCGUAGAUAUCGGGAGGAACACCGGUGGCGAAGGCGGCGACCUGGGUAGAUACUGACGCUGAGGUGCGAAAGCGUGGGGAGCAAACAGG